AUGAAAAAGUUUGCUUUUUUUCUUCCUAGAACAGAAGCCUGGGGCAGGCCUGGCGAAGAGGCUGGACUGGGCUGAAGGCCAGUGGAGUAUGGGCAGAAGAGUCCCAUCCCUGCUCAGGGCCAGCACCCCACAUGGCAGAUGCUUGCUUGCCGAAUGGUCAUGUUGGAGUGCUCACUGCUGACUUUCCCUGACUGGUCUCCAAACGUGACUCCCUGUGGCAGGACCUGUGGGUCCAAACCCUGCCAGGUUGGGAAGGCCAAGUCUGCAGAGCCCUGUGAAGGUUUUAGCAGGCCCAGGUCAUCCUCUGGCCUUGACAGCCAGUCAUCUGGCUGGUUCUGCCAGACCUCCCUGAGCCCUUGUCUUGAGGUGGAAGAAGAGGGUUGUUAGACUAACUGCUUCUCCCAGUCUCCUGUGAUAUUUCAUACUUUAAAAAUGUGACGGAGAAGACCUCUCCCUGCCUUCCUGCUGUUCCCAACUUGACGCUACUUUCCCCCAUUCUGGCUCAAACUGCAAACUUCAAGUUCCAGGCAUUUGGCCCUGACAGGGGCUAUGUGCUUGGAAGGCCAGGGAACGAGGAGUGAUGGUGAUCUGGGCACCUGAGGAGACCCUCUGCAGAUCCCCUGUCCUUUCUGCAAGGCAAGAUCCCAUCACCCAUCCUCCUGGCAGUCAGGGUGGCCGUGGUGACUGAGUCCUGGCUGUCGUGAGUGGGGGGUGUCUUUCUGAGCCUCAGUUUCAAACAGGGCGCAUGCCCCCUCCUUAUGUCUUUGCCCUGCUGUGGGGGGACACUGGAGUUAAGAGGGGAGGAUCCUGGCUCCUGAGUUGGUGUUGGAGAUCUGCCAUCUGUGUAGAAGCAAGAAGAACCAUGACUGUGUUUGAACCAUUAUGCAUUUUGUCUCCAUUAUCAAGUCAAGACUUAUCUCCAAUUUUCUGGGCAGAAAUAAGUGAUGCCUCUAAGCAGAAGGAAGAGCUAUCAAUCAGGGGGACCGGUUAUGGGAAAGAGAAGCGGAAGAUGGAGUGCUCUGAGGGUGUUUGGAAGAUUUAGCAUGUGCUUAAUCAAGUGCUUGUGUUUGGCGUGUGUGUGUGUUGGCGGGGGGAUGUAAGUGCACAGCCCAUGUUGGUGCCUUCACAAAUAAAUGAGGC
rnacentral:lncRNA from 1 species